rnacentral:rRNA from 1 species
GCGUAGGGUAUCUAGGUGGUUAAGUUAUACGCAAAUUAAAAACUGGGCAGGAACCCUUGCUGUUUGCUCGAUGACUUUUCUUGAAGCUUGUACAGGAAGAAGGUAUUUUAUUAGGAAUGAUAGAAUAUGUAGAUAAUAAAAAACCGACGUUGGCGAAGGCAUUCUUCCAGUUGAGUCUUGAGCUGAAGUACUAAGGCCGGGGAGCAAACUGGAUUAGACACCCAGGUAGUCCGGGUGUCAACGCUGAGUUUUCAAUGUGAGACGUGAAGACAUUAUUGUCUUUUGUGUUUUGUGUUUGAGCUAAGCGUUAAAUACUCCGCUGGGAAAUACGGCCGCAAGGUUGAAACUCAAAAGAAUUGAGGUGACUUGUACAAGG